GCCUCCCUUGUUUUUCUAACUACAACCUUUAUUUUUCGUACUAUAUAACAACUCAACUACAUAGCACGAAAAUAAUCAAGUAAAAAUUAAAAAAUGGCACAUACUAGUAACACGAUAUCGUUGUGUCUCCUUAUAGUUCAAUUAUUUUUCAUGUUACUUGCUAAAGCAAACGCGAAAAUUCCAGCGAUAAUUGUAUUUGGCGAUUCAUCAGUGGAUUCAGGCAAUAACAAUCAUAUUCAGACGAUUGCUCGGAGCAAUUUUAUGCCGUACGGACGGGAUUUUGCGGGGGGUCGACCGACCGGUCGAUUUUCUAACGGGAGAAUUACGACUGAUUUUAUUUCGGAGGCAGCUGGUUUGAAACAAAUUGUUCCAGCAUAUUUGGAUCCAGCUUAUAAUAUGUCUGAUUUUGCUGUUGGAGUUAGUUUUGCU
rnacentral:misc_RNA from 1 species